UAAAAGUUUUUUUGCUUUGAGGUUUCAGAAAAAUUUUAUAUUACAUGUAAGUUUUGGCUUUAAAAAAGAGGUGUUUAAAUAAGAAUUUGUUUUUGACGGGGCAGUCAUUAAUAUUAAAUAUUCGGGGGGCCGAGAUUUAGUGGAAAAUUUUAGUAUAAACAAAAUUUGUGCCAGCAGUUGCGGUUACACAAAUUAUGCAAUGAAAUUUUGUUGGGUAUAGUUAAUUUGAUUUAUUUGUAGAUAAAGAAAUAUUCUAUUGGGUGGAAUUUUAGAAUGUUGUUUUCUAUUUUAUUGUUAAUGAGGCUAGUAAAUUUUACAAAAGACUAGGAUUAGAUACCCUAUUAUAAAAGUUAAUUUUAAAAACCUAAAUUAUUAGUAGCUAAGUUCUUGAAAAUUAAUAAAGAUGGCGGUAUUUUAGUCUAUUCAGAGGAAUCUGCCCUGUAAUUGAUAUACCACGAUUUAAUUUACUUAAGUUUUUAACUUACAUAUCGCUGUGAAUUGAAUAUUUCUGUUGAAUUUUAAUAUUCAAGAUUUUGAAUGAAAGGAUAUCAAGUCAAGAUGUAGUUUAUAUUUAAGAAGAGGUGGAUUACAAAAAUUUUAUUUGUGGUUAAUUUAUUGAAAUAUUUUUUAUAAAAUGGAUUUGAAAGUAAUUUUUUACAAAAAUUUUAGAAAUGAUUCUAGCUCUAAAAUAUGUACAUAUCGCCCGUCGCUUUCACUACAAAGUGGAAUAAGUCGUAACAUAGUAGAUGUACUGGAAAGUGUCUCUAGAAGACA
rnacentral:ncRNA from 1 species